AUCUAAAGAAUCCACAGCACGUGUUGUAGUUUGGAGGGAAAUAGGAGUACAAAGAAGUUAUACCAUGGAGAGUACUUUAUGUGGCUGUGAUCAGGGAAAAUACAAGGGUUUACAGAUUGGUACCCGAGAACUGGAAGAGAUGGGAGCAAAAUUUUGUGUUGGUCUUUUACGUUUGAAAAGACUGACCUCUCCAUUGGAGUAUAAUCUGCCUUCCAGCCUGCUUGACUUUGAAAAUGAUUUAAUUGAAUCAAGCUGCAAAGUAACUAGGAACCUUGGCAGCUCUGAACUUCAGUUUUUGCCUCCAAUCCUUUGAAAUUGCUGAAAGCUCUGAUGACUUCUCUGCCUCUAACAGCUGCCCUUGCUUGGCCUGGGUUCCACUGGACUUUGCCCCACGCACCUUUUUUUCUUUGCUGAUUUUGCUUUGUAUCCUUUCACUGUAAUAAGUCAUAACUGAAUUCAACUGUGUGCUGAGUCCUGUGAGUCUUCCUAGCAAAUCACUAACCCUAUGGUGGUCUUGGGACCCCUGAUAAGCAUGUUCAUUCUGAAUUUCUGUAAAGGUUGGUUAUCCCAGAGGUUCUAAUGUUCUACUGAGAAUGAUCAGAGACAGAUGGUAUUAUGAUCCUUUUAUGGAUGUGUGCAGCUGAGGCUGAAAGAGAGAAAUUUACCU
rnacentral:lncRNA from 10 species